CCAGCAGCCGCGGUAAUACGUAGGGCGCAAGCGUUAUCCGGAAUUAUUGGGCGUAAGAGCUCGUAGGCGGUUUGUCGCGUCUGCCGUGAAAGUCCGGGGCUCAACUCCGGAUCUGCGGUGGGUACGGGCAGACUAGAGUGAUGUAGGGGAGACUGGAAUUCCUGGUGUAGCGGUGAAAUGCGCAGAUAUCAGGAGGAACACCGAUGGCGAAGGCAGGUCUCUGGGCAUUAACUGACGCUGAGGAGCGAAAGCAUGGGGAGCGAACAGGAUUAGAUACCCUGGUAGUCCAUGCCGUAAACGUUGGGCACUAGGUGUGGGGGACAUUCCACGUUUUCCGCGCCGUAGCUAACGCAUUAAGUGCCCCGCCUGGGGAGUACGGCCGCAAGGCUAAAACUCAAAGGAAUUGACGGGGGCCCGCACAAGCGGCGGAGCAUGCGGAUUAAUUCGAUGCAACGCGAAGAACCUUACCAAGGCUUGACAUGAACCGGAAACGCCUGGAAACAGGUGCCCCACUUGUGGUCGGUUUACAGGUGGUGCAUGGUUGUCGUCAGCUCGUGUCGUGAGAUGUUGGGUUAAGUCCCGCAACGAGCGCAACCCUCGUUCUAUGUUGCCAGCACGUGAUGGUGGGGACUCAUAGGAGACUGCCGGGGUCAACUCGGAGGAAGGUGGGGACGACGUCAAAUCAUCAUGCCCCUUAUGUCUUGGGCUUCACGCAUGCUACAAUGGCCGGUACAAAGGGUUGCGAUACUGUGAGGUGGAGCUAAUCCCAAAAAGCCGGUCUCAGUUCGGAUUGGGGUCUGCAACUCGACCCCAUGAAGUCGGAGUCGCUAGUAAUCGCAGAUCAGCAACGCUGCGGUGAAUACGUUCCCGGGCCUUGUACACACCGCCCGUCAAGUCACGAAAGUUGGUAACACCCGAAGCCGGUGGCCUAACCCCUUGUGGGGGGGAGCCGUCGAAGGUGGAC
rnacentral:rRNA from 1 species